ACUACCCUGUGGUCCCUGAGGAGCAUUACACUGAGAAGUUUUCUCCUAUUUUGUCUUUCAUUCUCCACAUCCUCUUUUGUUCUAGUGCAUGGCAUGGGAAGCCCUCUCUAGGAGGAUGCUGUGGCCACACAAGUGCUGGACGAACCGCUGGAGUAGGUGACUUCCAAGGUGUCCUGAUGUAGUAGCUAUUAGACAAGCUCCUGCAUUUGGCCAGUAAUUAGCAUGCUGCUGCACAUUGCCACUAGGUGGUGCUGCUGCUCCAUUCCCAAGUAACCCACAUGCAUCCCUGGCUGGGGUCAGCCUUGGGGUUUCCCAAGUGUAGAGGAAUCCAUCUCUGUGCCUGUGGUAAUGGCUGGACACCAGGUGAGACCCUGUCUCAAAACAAAACAGAAAUAACAAAAAAUAAGGUGACUUGCUGGAGGCCACAUGGCUGUGAGCCAAAUACAGGUCUGGGUUAUCAGGGCUCACAUACUUCUAAGUACACCCUACUGCCUUGGAAUCUGCUGAAGACCAAGCCCCUGCCCCCAAGCCAUGGCAAAGAAGGAGGGAAGGAAGCAAAGGUGCCCAGCGGGGACAACUCGGGGAGGGGCGAGGUGCCCAGGGCCCAGGAAGGCCAAGCAGCAUGUGGCAGGGCAGCAUCAGGUGACUCCCAAGAAGGAAUGAGGAGAGGAUAUGAGGAAAGAGCCACAGCACAGAGGCCUGCUGUUAGGUCAGCGGAGACCACGGCCCAUGGGACCUGGAUCUACCCUUGAUGCUAACAAUGUUCUUUGGGGAAAAAAUCUAUAAUCACAAAGUUUCUGCAACUGGACUGUAGUCAUGGUUGCAGAACUGUAUAGAUUUACUAGGAACCAUCAAAUUGUUCACUUACAAUGGGUAAAUUGUACAGUACAUAGGUUAUCCCUCAGUAAAGCUGUAUGAAAUUUAUAGUCAUGAAACUAAUAGUGACAAACGAGCUGGGUAAGUAGGUCUCAGCUGUUCUGUAGGCACUUUGAGAAGAGGAAGAGUAGCAUCUCGGUUUUAAUAAAAGAAAGCCUGGCCCAUGGCGUCCAGCUUCUGCUUGAAUACUUUCAGUGCCCGGGAGCUCAGUAUCUCAAAGCAGCCCACUCCUGUUUAAGAGAACUCUAAACCUUAGAAUGUUGAAAUACAUCAUUAUUAUUCUAGUACUGCUGUGAAAAAUAAAUGUCUUUGUUUUGCCAC
rnacentral:lncRNA from 1 species